rnacentral:rRNA from 1 species
CCUACGGGAGGCAGCAGUGGGGAAUAUUGCACAAUGGGGGAAACCCUGAUGCAGCGACGCCGCGUGAGUGAAGAAGUAUUUCGGUAUGUAAAGCUCUAUCAGCAGGGAAGAAAAUGACGGUACUUGACUAAGAAGCCCCGGCUAACUACGUGCCAGCAGCCGCGGUAAUACGUAGGGGGCAAGAGUUAUCCGGAUGUACUGGGUGUAAAGGGAGCGUAGGCGGCCAGACAAGUCAGAAGUGAAAGCCCAGGGCUCAACCCUGGGACUGCUUUUGAUACUGCCGGGCUUGAGUGCAGGAGAGGUAGACGGAAUUCCUAGUGUAGCGGUGAAAUGCGUAGAUAUUAGGAGGAACACCAGUGGCGAAGGCGGCUUACUGGACUGUAACUGACGUUGAGGCGCGAAAGCGUGGGGAGCAAACAGGAUUAGAUACCCUUGUAGUC